GCCAAUGAGUGUGUAUACAUACACCAGUCAGACAUAACAUUAUGACCACCUGCCUAACACUGUGGACACGAGUCAGUGCAGCAGUUUGUUGGCACUCGUGUCACUCUGCAGCUCACACACCAGUUUGUGUUUCUCUUUGCUUCCAUAUUUAUACCAUCUGAAAGGGCACAAAUGUGUCCAUCAUUUAGUGAUAAGAAUAUGUAAAAUGAGUGAAAACUGUGGUUGUGAGAAGAAGGUGGAGAGAGUUUUUUACACAUAUUCAACAGCCUCCACAGUCUAGGUGUGAUAUCACUACCAUAGCCACUGAAUGUUUGUCUUCAUAGAGACCAAUGGACAAUAUUUCUCAUUUUCAACCAUUUUAACAAAGAUUCAAACUAACUUCAAUCUUUUACAAAGUACCAAUAGAAUUUAAACAUUUAAUAAACAGUAGAUCAGCCUCAUCAUCAGUGAGACUUGGGUGUCCAUGUCCCUGGUAGGUACUGACCACUGCAGACCAGGAACACCCAACAAGACCUGCAGUCUGGGAGAUGCUCUGACCCAGUCGUCUAGACAUCACAAUCUGACCCUUGUCAAAGUCACUCAACUCUUACAUUUGCCCAUUUUUCCUGCUUCCAACACAUUAACUUUGAGGACUGAUAAUUAACUUGCGCCCUAAUACACCCCACACACCGACAGGUUCCACUGUGACUGUAACAUAUUGUGUUGCAGUAAUAUGUUGAUUGGUUUGUCCACCAGAUGGCGCACGGCACUAAUGUUCUGUUAUGGAAAUCCCCUUAGAGAUGAAGGCGGAAGGUACGGUGGCCGACAGGUGGAAACGCCCCUGCAUAAAUAAAGCCAACUGCAAGAAAUAAAACGCUGCAAAUUCACUGACACAACAGAAGAGCUCCGGGUUUCUGGGCCCCGCGGUGCGUUUUCACCGGAGAGAAAAGACAACGAUGAGGUGGGAAGUUUGAGCAGAGCGCAGAGAGAAACUACAUCAAAGUUCUGGGAAGUGGGGGCGCUACAAAUGGAACAAUAUGAAGGAAAAGAAAAGAUCCACCAUCUCUGACAUAACCUUCCAGACGCUGCAAACUGUCCUCUUUCUUUCCCACAGAUGCCCAUUCUGUGGAUCGAUGGUAACAGGUUCCCCGGCCUUUUGUUGUGGAUGUGGGAGAAAUAUUUAGUUUCUAAAAGAUGCUGCAAACAACACUCCUGUCGAGAUGCCCACUGGCAGUGGACAUCCCUAAUAAGUACAUUUAGGCACCAUGUUGUUUAGUUGCAAGCAUAAGGUGUUCUAAAAUACCUGCAAUGAAGUUUAAUGAUUAAAAUUGUAGUAAGGUCAAAGGGGAUCUGUGAUUCAAAUUGUCCUGCUCCAUAGUUUAUCCACCACAAGAGUUUUGCACGAGUCUUUGUUAGGAUUUUAAUUUUUACUUAUUUAGUAUUGGCUCUUAAAUGCAGCCCCUCAGUUUAGCUGUCUUUAUGUCUUUAUCUGAAACUGUUAUAGCUCUACAGGAGCUGUCCUGAUCAGUUAGCUCCUGAGGAUUUUUUCUAUUUCUGGAGCAAUGAACAAAUCAUGUAUAGUAACUAAGGGUUUGUGAGCAUUUGGAAUUAAGGAUAUUUUACAAAAUGACAUCAGCUCAGGCUUAAAAAUCCAGCAGAGGCUGAUGUCUUCUUUGCUCAGGGAUUAAUUUGUCAUACAUUUAAACGUUGGUCAUGUUCUACUUUCUCUUUGUAGCAGUAAGAUCAGGUGUAGAGUCCUUUCUCAAAUUUAGGGAAAUAAAAGAGAGGGAGAGAGACAUUUUCAAAGACACGUCUUAAGUCUAAGAAGGGACAGAAAAAAAUGAAGGCUUGCUCACACACUCGUUGACCAACAGACAUUCAUAUACUGUAAAAUAAAAGACUGUAUCAAUAAGUUAAAUGUUAUUUAUUUCUUUUUUCUUCCAUUUCUUUAGAUUUAUGUAGGAUUAAUGAGGAUGAAUGGUGACACCUUGAAGCCUGUUAGAGGAAAGUCACUUCCGCUUGGCAUUCAACCCCAGUGGUCUGAACAGCUGCUGCCACAAGGAAACACAAAGAAAGAAACUUUCUUGUUUGACUGGUGUCUUAGGUUUCAUAGGUGACAAGUAACACAAUAUAAAUAUCAGAAAGAGCAUUCAAACAGUUUAUGUGUUAAAGUAAAGAGAUUGGUCUUUUGUGCUACAGUGAAAAGUACUAAGAUGAAGGGGAUAUUAAAGCCAACACUUAUGUACAGCAACCACUUCAGUCUAAUAUUUAAACAUAUUUGAUAUAUAGAAAUUGAAAAUGUAACUUUUGAUUACAGGUAAGACUUGAUAAUGACAAUCAUUGUUUUUCCAAGGUUAUGAUGGACAGUCAAGUGAAGAUGACAGCGUGGUCCAAGUUAAUUUUCCAUCUGCAGAGAGUCCACUUUCUGACACUGUGGUGUGUGACCUUCCAGAUGGUGCGAGCACUCCAAGAAUAGAAAACAUUUUGCAUGGAUAAAACACAACAAAACACAUAUCCAAAAACCAUCUUGUGCAGGUGCUGAGCCAAAAAAAGGCGACAAAUAUGCAACAAAAAAUUACAACCUUACAGAAACACACAACCCAAUCAAGUAAGAAUGUUGUGUUGCGUUCUGGAUAUGACAUUAAAUAAACUCAUAAACUUGUAAAACCAACCUACACAUGAUGUGUACUCUGUUGGUUUCUAAGCAAAUUGUUCUGUCAUGAGAUUAACUGUACUAAUAUUUUUUUCGGUGAACUAUGUUGGAGGACGAAAUGAACAAGUCCAGGAAGAAAUCAAAUCCUCUGAGGGUCAGAAGUGCUGUAGCACAUAUACAAAUGUAUGUGCAUCCAUCAUCAUUGACAGUGAAAUUGACAAACGCUGACAUUGAAGCCAAGCUGGAAGAUAUAACUGAUGAUACCAUGAGAGCUUCCCUGCUUGAGAUUCAAGGAUGGACUUUCAGCAUUGGAUGUUAUUCAUUCUUUGGAGCAGCAUGCAUCUGUCUUCAGGGCCUUUAUGUGUGCAAGCAAGGAACAGCUCACAUCUGCAAAAGUUGAAGAAAUCUUUGAGGUCCAACUGAGCGGAAAAGACGACUGAAAGAAACAAAAGUUUCUGGAGAGAUUAUCUUCUUGAAACAGAAGAAAAACAAACUGGACUCUCCCUCCGGGACAUCCUGAUGUUCACCACUGGGUUAAACACUCUGCCUCCUGCAGGAUUUCAGCCACAGUCCAGACAGAUUUUUCUGGAGACGUCUCGCUUUCCUAUCAGCAGCACCUGUACAAACACAAUCAAAACACCAAUGUCCAAAACUUAUGAACAGUUUCAGAAUGACAUGGACUUUGGAAUAAAAAAUUCACCAGGCUUUGGACUAAUAGAGCCUGAGGGUUCUUUCCUUUCAACCAUUUAAGGCAGUUAGUACCUCCAUUUUCAACUUGUGUCAAACUCACAUUUCAUUACAAAUCUGCCAUGUUCUUCAGUCUGAUAUAGUUUUCCACACAGGACUCCCAGGUUAAUGGCUGUCUCACACCACUCUGUCUCUGUAGGCCCUCAAAGUGUGCCUGAGAUGGUCAUCCCCACAUGGACUGUAUGGUGAUCUGUCCAUAAACUGAAAUAGUUCCUCCAGGGAGACAGAGAACCCACACCUGGUUCCUCCACACCUGAGAGUAAAAUGUGCACAUUAGAUUUAAUUUACAUUAUUUUGUUUUGAGCCAACUGGUAUGCUGUAAUUCUUUGUGUUUGGGCAGCAAAUGUGUUUUGUGGUUUUACUUUAAACUGUUUUCAAGAUUUCUGCAUCAAGUAUGUAAAUAAACAUUUUGUUUACACUUGAGAUUCAUAAAGAUUAUUAGUCCAGGUGAAAUAAAAUAAUCUUUCACAGUCAAAAAUUAAUCUAAUUUUUAGAGGUUAAUUUGGUAAAUGUCUGGAAAAAUAAAAUUAGAAGAAACCAGCCUGUGAGGCAGGUCAUACAUGGCGUUUGGUUUUCCAGAUGGACAGCGAGACUGUUUAACAGGUCUGAUGCUGUGUGUGUUCCAUUUUUCUCGCCAUUCAUCAAGGUCCUGCUGAAGGAAACUCAUGAACACAAACCUCACGAGGCAUUUGUGCUCAUGACUGCUGCUGAACAGAUUUCUCUCCCUCAGGUCGUUCAUCAGGUCCAUCCAGAACUGAGACCUGCACACAGACUCAAGUUAGAACUCUGUCCUGCAUGUUUCCCUGCUUGAACACACCUGCAGUGAAACAUAUAAAACAUGCAGGGCAGAGGGCCCUGAGGACCAG